rnacentral:rRNA from 1 species
AUUGAACGCUGGCGGCAUGCCUUACACAUGCAAGUCGAACGGCAGCACGGGAGCAAUCCUGGUGGCGAGUGGCGAACGGGUGAGUAAUAUAUCGGAACGUGCCCAGUCGUGGGGGAUAACGCAGCGAAAGCUGUGCUAAUACCGCAUACGAUCUAUGGAUGAAAGCGGGGGAUCGCAAGACCUCGCGCGAUUGGAGCGGCCGAUAUCAGAUUAGCUAGUUGGUGAGGUAAAGGCUCACCAAGGCGACGAUCUGUAGCUGGUCUGAGAGGACGGCCAGCCACACUGGAACUGCGACACGGUCCAGACUCCUACGGGAGGCAGCAGUGGGGAAUUUUGGACAAUGGGCGAAAGCCUGAUCCAGCAAUGCCGCGUGCAGGAUGAAGGCCUUCGGGUUGUAAACUGCUUUUGUACGGAACGAAACGGUGAGCUCUAAUACAGUUUGCUAAUGACGGUACCGUAAGAAUAAGCACCGGCUAACUACGUGCCAGCAGCCGCGGUAA